rfam:Microdochium bolleyi strain J235TASD1 unplaced genomic scaffold Micbo1qcscaffold_8, whole genome shotgun sequence.
GGCACUUUGGCGGAGUGGUUAACGCGAUGCCCUGCUAUCCAUGGCUAGCCAAGGCAUUUCCCUCGGGAGCGCAGGUAAGCACCCACUUCCACUUCCACCCUGCAGCAACCCAUCCACAUGCACGAUUCCUAACACUGCAUCCAAUAGGUUCGAAUCCUGCAGGUGUCG